rnacentral:lncRNA from 1 species
AUGUCAGAUUCCCAGCACGGUGUCCUGGGCCCAGGGCCGCCUCCUAUACCUGGUGCAUGUAGUAGGUGCUCAAUAAACAGUCCGUUGAUGCAUGAGCACAUACCAUUUCUCCCAAACAGCCGUGCACAGACACCACUGCCUCAUCUAGUCCCUAACUGGCCUUCCAGGAUCAGCAGAAAAUUUUGGAUUUUGAACAUUGUGACCACCAGCCCUGAAGAGAUGAAAGGAAGAGUCAACACAGAAUGUGAUCGGUCGAAUCUGUCCUGGGAAGGAGGAGACCCCAGAGGCAGACCAGACCUGCACACAGCCUCAGAAGGGGUUGGAUCUGGUUUGGGCUGGGGGGGAGCUGGUUGCGGGCUCUGAUCUCCCUGCCUCUGGGGUACUUUCAGCUCUGUCAUUCCCGAGCCCUUCCAAAGAAGAUCAACACAGAGUUCAUAGUAUUUUCAUGAGUGUAGUUUCUUUCCAUUCUAUUUCCUAAAGGAAAGAAAAAGCCAAAUUCUUUCUCAGAAUUUUCUGGGACAAUUGUAUUAGAAAGCUUUUCUUAAGAAGAAUGUGAACUGAAUGCUAUGACUACUGCUACUAAAAACUCUUUGGUCCAUGGAUGACCCAUCAGGGGUGACACCAGAGCUCACACCACAACACAGACAGGGAACUGGCCCAACUGAUGCAAAGUCCCCCGUCUACCCCUGUUCUUCCUCCCACUAACUCCACAAUCCUGAAUUCAGCCAUGUACCCAGAGGCUCUAAGAAUUCCUGGAUGAUUCGGAUCAUGACUCUUCAUCUGUUUGUCUAAUGACCAGUUGCCAUGGGAACAAGCAGUGUCUAUCUGUUCGCAUCUCUAGCCUUGCUCAGUGUUCUUUACACAGUCAGAGGAACACAGGGGGACUCCCACCUGGCUACCCCGAAGGCGAUUGCUUCUACGGAGGGAGUAGAGUGCCCUGGAUGACUAAUGCCUCUUUCUCUAAGAUGGAAGGAGAUUCAGAUUCUUGUGCUAGUGUAAACCCAGA